CCUUAAGAUAUGAACUGCUAGCGAGGAUACGUUAAAAUAGACAAGGCUCACAGGAAACGUUUUAGAAUUACGCAGGUUACCGAUACUGAAAUUUUGAACGAAUGUGUAAAAUGAUUGGCUAUAUUAGGAUGGCAAAUUACCUAAGAACUGUACCAAAUUUAAACAAUCCUAAAAUAUGCGUAUUUUCAUAAACUGGGGAAACUGAGAACGUUAUUAAGAAAACGGCUCUGACGAGGGAAAGUGGGCAAGGAAUUACAGAAGUUCAUCAGGAACAAGGAGAGUAACAUCUUUUUGUUACGUAUAACAAAACGGAAAGACAGGUUAUAUUUCGAGUGCAGUUUAUAGAAGUACGAAGUAUAACUAACCAUAUUUGUUUGUUCCAUCAUUACUAUCGAGGAAACGUGUACGACAAUUUUACUUCACCUUCCAUGUACUACAGUAUUAUCUGAAUGAAUGACAAAGAAAGCCCGGUUAAAGAAAUCAAGCAUCUGGUCGCACGCAUGCGUACAACAUCGGAAUCCCCACAUCUGAUGUGGAAAUGAGUGGCAGGCCUCCAUCAAGCUGCACUAUGACCCAGAAAAUAAUUGUAGAGACAUGGGAGAUGGGUCAGAAGACCCAUGUUUAUUGUCAUCGUCACUGACAACAUUGACUGCAACAGUAUUUGAUCUUCACCUCAUAAAAUGUACCAGCAACCUGUCCCAUUGAUGUACGCAGCUGAAGUCUGAACCUCUGGGCAGCCAGCUUCCUCUUAUUGCUAAGUGAGAACACAUUUUGAAUGUGUACAAAUUUGACAAAAUGCAUGCAUAAGCUAACAAACACAUACCUCAAACUCUGUGACACAGAGUUCAAUGAAGUUAAAGGUGGCUGCACAGGUGAUGAGUUACACUGUAGCAGCAAGUCUCUACAACUUUGUAUCUGCAGGGAGGAACUAUGGUGCCCACUUAGCACAAGAGUCUUAAUAUAGGUCAUUGGACCACAGCAAGUAUGGGGAAAAGCAGCGAGAUCUUUCCAAAGAACGGCAAACCAGCCUUCAAGCACCCCCUCCAUCGCAGACCGGGUAGCCCUUAGACACUGCAGCAUCCAAUCAUGUUUUGAGAACCUUAGAAAGGCAGAGCUUGACUGUCUAUAGACCCAAAGGGUGAAUCAGGAUCCCCUUGAGACGUCAUCAAUGGUCUUGCAUUUAGAGGCCUGCGUGGUACUAACUGUGAUAAAGAGGAAACUAGUCUCCUGGACAACCUACAUUGCUUACUCAGGGGACCUGAUGCUUCACAAGCCACAUCAGCAAAAAGCCCUGGUAUGUUCAUACCAGUUAUGAUGUUGUUGAGCAAGUACAACAGAAAAUAUGUGCUGCUGUACAUGCUGGUGAGAUGAAAAUGUUCUAGUAGCUUAUGUCAUCGGUUUCACUGCUAAACAGGUGCUUCCUGUUGUCCACUGUGAUGCACGCAAGUUAUGUCUGACAUCAAUCAAUGUUAUCAACCAAUGCCUUAAUAUAUUUCAAGGAGUUCAGUGAUACAAAACAGUCUCUCACCUAUGCCUCUGAGAAGUUGUAGGGACUGUAUG